GACGAACGCUGGCGGCGUGCUUAACACAUGCAAGUCGAACGGAAAGGCCCUGUUCUUGUGGGGUGCUCGAGUGGCGAACGGGUGAGUAACACGUGAGUAACCUGCCCUUUACUUUGGGAUAACUUCAGGAAACUGGGGCUAAUACCGGAUAGGAGCUCCUGCAGCAUGGUGGGGGUUGGAAAGUUUCGGCGUUUGGGGAUGGACUCGCGGCUUAUCAGCUUGUUGGUGGGGUAGUGGCUUACCAAGGCUUUGACGGGUAGCCGGCCUGAGAGGGUGACCGGCCACAAUGGGACUGAGGUACGGCCCAGACUCCUACGGGAGGCAGCAGUGGGAAAUAUUGCACAAUGGGCCGAAGCCUGAUGCAGCGACGCCGCGUGCGGGAUGACGGCCUGCGGGUUAUAAACCGCUUUCGCCUGUGACGAAGCGUGAGUGACGGUAAUGGGUAAAGAAGCACCGGCUAACUACGUG
rnacentral:rRNA from 1 species